UGGCAGAUGGCUAACCCUUCCCUGAGCCUGUUAAAAGCGUGUUCUUUCUUCCCACUGUCACCAAGUGCUUGCUUAAAAGUGAUCAUUUGAUUGUAGAGGUUGUGUAUUUAUGUUGUGCUCACUGGGCAUAAUGCAGGUAUAGGGUUUCGAAUAGAAGGGGAGGGAUGUGGUUGUUAAACUGUUGCUUUGUGGAGCGGUGACACUGAUGACUAGGACAGUGUUGUCAGAGCUGUAGCAUAAAAAGAAGUCUCAGAGGAAUCCGUGUCCUUUUUCUUUCUGCUGCCUCCACAGUUCUGUUCUCUCCUUUCUGCAUGACCCUCAGCUGCACACAGCUUUAGAGAGUUUUACUCAGCAAAGACGUCUUUACCAACUGGUGCUGCAGACGAGUGCCUCGUGAUUGAACAACUGGAACCAACCACUCAUAAGUCAAG